rnacentral:rRNA from 1 species
GACGAACGCUGGCGGCGUGCUUAACACAUGCAAGUCGAACGAGACGAUUGUAAGCUUGCUUUCGAAAGUCGAGUGGCAAACGGGUGAGUAACGCGUAGACAACCUGCCUUUGAGAUGGGGACAACAGUUCGAAAGGACGGCUAAUACCGAAUGUUGUAUAUUUUCCACAUGGAAGAUAUAUUAAAGAUGGCCUCUAUUUAUAAGCUAUCGCUCAAAGAUGGGUCGGCGUCUGUUUAGCUGGGUGGUGGGGUAACGGCCUACCAAGGCGACGACCAGUAGCCGGUCUACAAGGAUGAACGACCACAAUGGGACUAAGGCACGGCCCAGACUCCUUCGGGAGGCAGCAGUGGGGAAUCUUCCACAAUGGACGAAAGUCUGAUGGAGCCACGCCGCGUGAGUGAAGAAGGGUUUCGGCUUGUAAAGCUCUGUUGUCCGGGACGAAUGUGCAGUAUUUGAAUAAACUACUGUAAUGACGGUACCUGACGAGGAAGCCACGGCUAACUACGUGCCAGCCGCCGCGGUAA